rnacentral:rRNA from 1 species
CAAAACCUGGUUGAUCCUGCCAGUAGUCAUAUGCUUGUUUCAAGGAUUAAGCCAUGCAAGCCUAAGAGUAACUGAGACUAACAGGAGGUCUGCGAACGGCUCAUUAUAACAGUGAUGAUCUACCGGGGGAAUCGCAGUUCACACUGCUACCAAUGGAUAACAUCGCGAAACGCGAUGCUAAUACAUGCACAACAU